rnacentral:lncRNA from 1 species
CAGAUGACUUGCCCCCAAAGGAUCUCACUGUUAAAUAAUAGUGAGACGAUUCCCAUGCCUGUUACAGAGGGGAGGCUCAACACACAUCCAUGAAGUUCCCAUUGGCCUUAUGGAAUUGGAGAAUAAGAGAAGCUAGAGACGUCAUGGGGUGUGACUCCCUUUCCCCUGRCCCUGCAGGUGAGAAGGCUUCCCCAGACUUCACCCCUCCAGAGACUGGCAGCUGGGCUCCACAGCGAAUAGUGCUCUGAGGCCAAGGUGCAAGCCCCAACUUCUGAUUUCAGAUGUGUYCAAUGGGAGGAAGGGUCCGAAGGGGUCUGGAUACAGUGCCGUCAGUGCUUCUCAGGUAAAAGUCCCAUAGAGGUUCAAAGGUGCUCCCAAGAGCUAGUGUCUUCUCUUACCCAGCAGUGUCCUGGGAUCCAGGCCCUUAAUUGUGUGGGUGAUGAGCUGCAGCAGUGCCUCUGCCUUGGUUACUUUCUGGGUGUCGUGAGGCCUAGAAGGAAGCAGACCAUAAUAUCCCAGGACAAGAUGGGUAUGUCCCGUUCGUACUUGGGUGGGGGGCCCAUUUUCCCUUGUCACUGAGAUUUCCUCAGCUGUGGCUGAGGGAGGUGCCUUGUCUUUCUAAAGAGCAGCAGGAUUCUCAGCCCAGGGCAGGGUCUGAAGGAAGCUGACUAAACUGAACAUUUAGAUAAGGAAUGUGGGCUUUGGGGAGCUGAAGUGAACGAAGUCUCAGGAUAACCUCUCACUGUUUCUGGACAGUUGUGAAAAUGAAACAUCAGGAGGAGGUCAAAACCCUCCUGUCUGAACUUGGGAAUGUGACAAUGUCUCUCUUCCCAGAGUGGAACCUACUCAUAGCUCAGGUGUUUGAGACCCUGGAAUACUGAACAAAAGGCAGACCAUGCCUGUCUCUGUGACACAGAUCUUCCCUCAGCUCAGAACCAUCAUGCCUUGGACAUGAAAUUCCAGCUACUUCAGGGACCUCACCCUAUAAGUCACCAAACCCCAAGUAUCCCAGUGCCGCGCAGAACCCAGAACGCAAUCCAGGAAAGCACAACUCACAGACCUCAAAUCUUUGGACACGCAAUACCUCACACUUGACUGAACCUAGAUUGCUCAGCUCCAUGAAUGAGGCCAGGGACUCAGAAGAGCCCUGAGAUGUCAAGUUCUGAAGURUAGACUCAACUGCAUGCCAACAACUUCAUAACUCACGACUUAAAAACCCAAAUAGCUCCCAGACCUCCCACCCUGGACAUACAAAUCCACMAAAGCUUGGAUCCCUACCCUGGUAUGCAGGCACAUGCACAUCUGAGAGGACUGGU